rnacentral:rRNA from 1 species
UUAACUUAAAGGAUUGACGGAAGGGCACCACCAGGCGUGGAGCCUGCGGCUUAUUUGACUCAACACGGGGAAACUCACCAGGUCCAGACAAAAUAAGGAUUGACAGAUUGAGAGCUCUUUCUUGAUCUUUUGGAUGGUGGUGCAUGGCCGUUCUUAGUUGGUGGAGUGAUUUGUCUGCUUAAUUGCGAUAACGAACGAGACCUCGGCCCUUAAAUAGCCCGGUCCGCAUUUGCGGGCCGCUGGCUUCUUAGGGGGACUAUCGGCUCAAGCCGAUGGAAGUGCGAGGCAAUAACAG